rnacentral:tRNA from 1 species
AUGAGACUUUUUAGUAUAAUAAGUAUAAUCGUUUUAAGAUCGGUUGGUUUUUAAGUCAUUU